GACGAACGCUGGCGGCGUGCUUAACACAUGCAAGUCGAACGGAAAGGCCCUGCUUUUGUGGGGUGCUCGAGUGGCGAACGGGUGAGUAACACGUGAGUAACCUGCCCUUGACUUUGGGAUAACUUCAGGAAACUGGGGCUAAUACCGGAUAGGAGCUCCUGCUGCAUGGUGGGGGUUGGAAAGUUUCGGUGGGUGGGGAUGGACUCGCGGCUUAUCAGCUUGUUGGUGGGGUAGUGGCUUACCAAGGCUUUGACGGGUAGCCGGCCUGAGAGGGUGACCGGCCACAUUGGGACUGAGAUACGGCCCAGACUCCUACGGGAGGCAGCAGUGGGGAAUAUUGCACAAUGGGCGGAAGCCUGAUGCAGCAGCGCCGCGUGCGGGAUGACGGCCUUCGGGUUGUAAACCGCUUUCGCCUGUGACGAAGAGUGAGUGACGGUAAUGGGUAAAGAAGCACCGGCUAACUACGUG
rnacentral:rRNA from 1 species